AGUCUGCAACCCGACUACAUGAAGCUGGAAUCGCUAGUAAUCGCAGGUCAGCAUACUGCGGUGAAUACGUUCCCGGGUCUUGUACACACCGCCCGUCACACCAUGGGAGCCGGAAAUGCCCGAAGCCAGUGACCCAACCUUAGGGAGGGAGCUGUCGAAGGUGGAGCCGGUAACUGGGGUGAAGUCGUAACAAGGUACC
rnacentral:rRNA from 1 species